UACGUAGGGUGCAAGCGUUGUCCGGAAUUAUUGGGCGUAAAGGGCUCGUAGGCGGUCCAUCACGUCGGGAGUGAAAAGCUGGGGCUUAACCCCAGUCCUGCUUCCGAUACGGGUGGACUAGAGGUAGGUAGGGGAGAACGGAAUUCCUGGUGUAGCGGUGAAAUGCGCAGAUAUCAGGAGGAACACCGGUGGCGAAGGCGGUUCUCUGGGCCUUACCUGACGCUGAGGAGCGAAAGCGUGGGGAGCAAACGGG
rnacentral:rRNA from 1 species